rnacentral:rRNA from 1 species
AUUGAACGCUGGCGGCAGGCCUAACACAUGCAAGUCGAGCGAGCGGCGGACGGGUGAGCAAUGUAUGGGGACUGCCCGAUAGAGGGGGAUAACUACUGGAAACGGUAGCUAAUACCGCAUACUAUCGGAUAACCCAUAUGGGAUUAGCUAGUAGGUGAGGUAAUGGCUCACCUAGGCGACGAUCCCGAGCUGGCCUGAGAGGAUGACCAGCAACACUGGGACGGAGAAACGGCCCAGCCUCCUCCGGAGGCAGCAUAGGGGAAUAUUGCACAAUGGGAGAAAGCCGGAUAGAGCCAUGCCGCGUGUAUGAAGAAGGCCCUAGAGUUGUAAAGUACUUUCAGUCGGGAGGCGUUACCGACAGAAGAAGCACCGGCUAACUCCGUGCCAGCAGCCGCGGUAAUAC